rnacentral:rRNA from 1 species
GGGUCUAAUACCGGAUAGGAGCGCCUACCGCAUGGUGGGUGUUGGAAAGAUUUAUCGGUUUUGGAUGGACUCGCGGCCUAUCAGCUUGUUGGUGAGGUAAUGGCUCACCAAGGCGACGACGGGUAGCCGGCCUGAGAGGGUGACCGGCCACACUGGGACUGAGACACGGCCCAGACUCCUACGGGAGGCAGCAGUGGGGAAUAUUGCACAAUGGGCGCAAGCCUGAUGCAGCGACGCCGCGUGAGGGAUGACGGCCUUCGGGUUGUAAACCUCUUUCAGUAGGGAAGAAGCGAAAGUGACGGUACCUGCAGAAGAAGCACCGGCUAACUACGUGCCAGCAGCCGCGGUAAUACGUAGGGUGCGAGCGUUAUCCGGAAUUAUUGGGCGUAAAGAGCUCGUAGGCGGUUUGUCGCGUCUGUCGUGAAAGUCCGGGGCUUAACCCCGGAUCUGCGGUGGGUACGGGCAGACUAGAGUGCAGUAGGGGAGACUGGAAUUCCUGGUGUAGCGGUGGAAUGCGCAGAUAUCAGGAGGAACACCGAUGGCGAAGGCAGGUCUCUGGGCUGUAACUGACGCUGAGGAGCGAAAGCAUGGGGAGCGAACAGGAUUAGAUACCCUGGUAGUCCAUGCCGUAAACGUUGGGCACUAGGUGUGGGGACCAUUCCACGGUUUCCGCGCCGCAGCUAACGCAUUAAGUGCCCCGCCUGGGGAGUACGGCCGCAAGGCUAAAACUCAAAGGAAUUGACGGGGGCCCGCACAAGCGGCGGAGCAUGCGGAUUAAUUCGAUGCAACGCGAAGAACCUUACCAAGGCUUGACAUGUUCUCGAUCGCCGUAGAGAUACGGUUUCCCCUUUGGGGCGGGUUCACAGGUGGUGCAUGGUUGUCGUCAGCUCGUGUCGUGAGAUGUUGGGUUAAGUCCCGCAACGAGCGCAACCCUCGUUCCAUGUUGCCAGCACGUAAUGGUGGGGACUCAUGGGAGACUGCCGGGGUCAACUCGGAGGAAG